GACGUAGGGGGCCAGCGUUGUUCGGAAUUACUGGGUGUAAAGGGUUCGUAGGCGGUGCGGCAAGUUGGGAGUGAAAUCUCUGGGCUUAACCCAGAGGCUGCUUCCAAAACUGCUGUGCUUGAGUGUGGGAGAGGCGCGUGGAAUUGCAGGUGUAGCGGUGAAAUGCGUAGAUAUCUGCAGGAACACCCGUGGCGAAAGCGGCGCGCUGGACCACUACUGAUGCUGAGGAACGAAAGCUAGGGGAGCAAACAGG
rnacentral:rRNA from 1 species